GUGAACGCUAGCGGUGCGCCUAACACAUGCAAGUCGCGCGGCCCGCAAGGGCAGCGGCGAACGGCUGCGUAACACGUUGGUACCUACCCCGCACUCAGGGAUAACCUGCCGAAAGGCGGGCUAAUACCGGAUAGUUCCCGUGAGGGUAAAGCUUCGGCGGUGCGGGAGGGGCCUGCGGCCUAUCAGUUUGUUGGCAGGGUAACGGCCUACCAAGACUAUGACGGGUAGCUGGUCUGAGAGGACGACCAGCCAGAAUGGGACUGCGACACGGCCCAUACUCCUACGGGAGGCAGCAGUGAGGAAUCUUCCGCAAUGGGCGAAAGCCUGACGGAGCGACACCGCGUGAAGGAUGAAGCCCUUUCUGGGUGUAAACUUCUGUUCUGAGGGACGAAAUUUUUGACGGUACCUCAGGAGAAAGCACCGGCUAAUUCUGU
rnacentral:rRNA from 1 species